ensembl:lncRNA
AUGUCCUGUAAUGAUGGACUACAUUCAAGCACCUGUGUACUUCCAGAUAUUUUUUUUUAUUGAAGUUUUCCCAGUGUUUGGUGUAAGAGAUUAUUCUUUUAUAUAAUUGACUCAAAGUUUGCUGAGGAACAAGUCCAGGCAAGUUCUGGGAAUAGGUAGAGAAAUCUGUCUGGAGGACACUGAUGGACAGAUCCUGGCUAAGGGUUGUGAAAUCCUUUAAGGAGCACAGAUGGACAAGGCCAGGGGCAACGAGAGAGGGAUAAGCUGCUGAUAAUGGCCAGGAAACGGUCUUUUGUGUGGACUUAUCUCCAGGAAGAUGGCCAUCUCAGGAGGUAUGCACAUGACUCUUGCUCAAGCACCCAGGGAUGUCACGUAGGCAGGAAAAAAAGGAGGAUAAAAGAGGGUCCAACAACUAUGAGGAGAGGGUUUCUGCCAUCAGAUCCCUCACUACGGAUCGUAUGCUGAUGGACUUCCCUGGACCUGCUACCUGAGACCUGCUGCUUCCUCCUGGGCUUACUCUGCGGCUUCUUCCUGGACCCACCCGGUACCUGCACCCUCCCGUUGCCCACGAUUGGCCUCGGUGCUCCUGCCUUUCAGCCUCAGACCAUCGGAAUGUCGUGCAAUGGGACUACUGCCGGAUCCUGAUGGAUCAUGUCAUACUGUGGGGAAGCAUCACGGAUGGAAAGCUGUGUGGAGCCCCACAUGACAAGUUGCAGAGGCCACUGAAGGAAAAGGGGAAUCAAGCCAAUUUGCAGAGGUUAUUCAUGACUGUGAAACGUGCCAUAAUUAAACAAGCCAAGAGGAUGAAACCUCUCUGCGGAGAAGGAUGACGGCAAAACUAUAAAUAUGGAAGAGAAGAACUACACAUCCCAGAUGACUUCAUGUUCAGAGAGGAAAACAAGCCAUGGGAGAAUGUUAUGAUAUCUCACUCUCUGGCUCUUUCACUCGCUGCCUGGAAGUGUGUGGGUGUGCUCCCCAGCUGGUGCGCCUUCAUUUCAAUGUUAUAUUAGCAUCCAUGAAGUUCAACAUUCUUGUGAACAGAGCAAGGUUCUAAAAAAGGUAAAACAGAGACAAAAAAGUCAAAGACAGUUCAUAGCUCCUACAAGAUUGAAGUUGGAAUCAUGCAGAGAUGUAUACAUUAUUUUAGU